GACGAACGCUGGCGGCGUGCUUAACACAUGCAAGUCGAACGGAAAGGCCCUGCUUUUGUGGGGUGCUCGAGUGGCGAACGGGUGAGUAACACGUGAGUAACCUGCCCUUGACUUUGGGAUAACUUCAGGAAACUGGGGCUACUACCGGAUAGGAGCUCCUGCUGCAUGGUGGGGGUUGGAAAGUUUCGGCGGUUGGGGAUGGACUCGCGGCUUAUCAGCUUGUUGGUGGGGUAGUGGCUUACCAAGGCUUUGACGGGUAGCCGGCCUGAGAGGGUGACCGGCCACAUUGGGACUGAGAUACGGCCCAGACUCCUACGGGAGGCAGCAGUGGGGAAUAUUGCACAAUGGGCGGAAGCGUGAUGCAGCAACGCCGCGUGCGGGAUGACGGCCUUCGGGUUGUAAACCGCUUUCGCCUGUGACGAAGCGUGAGUGACGGUAAUGGGUAAAGAAGCACCGGCUAACUACGUG
rnacentral:rRNA from 1 species